GCAGCGGGCACUGAGGCCCAGGCUGUGGUUCCGGAUCCAGGGACGGAUGUACAUGCUUGCGCUGCCGCCGUAGAGACUGACCCAGGUCCCAUCUCUCGUACAGCUGUCUGCCGCUCUACUCCCGAGCUCUCCCAGAAUAAGAUACCCAGGGCCCUGGAUUUUGAGAGAUCUUCCCUAAAGAAGACAAUAGUGCCUGCCUCUAAUCCUAGCACUAGGCUGAGGCACGAGGAUGGCUACAAUUUCGAGGCCAGCCCCUGCUGCAUAGUGAGCACAAAGCCAGCCUGGACUACAUAGCGAGACCUUGUCUCAGAACAUCAACGAAACAAAACACAAAACAUCACACACUCCAAUAAAUAAAAGUUCAUACCUAACAGAGUCACCUUUGUCUCAGGGCUAACUUUGCCUCACCCCUUUCUGUUCUGAACUCUGCUGGGCAGAGAAAUCAAGAGAGAACAGCAUCUCUAUGGGAAGAAAAGAAGGGGCACACAUGCAUGACAGUGUUUGUAAGGACACACAAAAAAUAUCCAGAGUUCUAGGUGGAGCUCAGGUGGGGGCAGACUGAGGACUCCUCAUUUUCUUCCUACUUCAAGCUAGGUUGUUUAUUUCUCUAUUUAGGGUCUCACUCUGUAGUUCAGGCUGGCUUUGAACUCACUGUGUACCCUUGGCUGGCCUCCAAUUUGAGUCAGUUCUCCUGUCUAACCCUCCUGAGUGUUGGGAUUUAUGGAUGUGCAUCCACACCUGGCUCUGGCCACUUGUUUGUGUGUAUUUUUGAGACAGGGUCUUGCUAGUAACCCAGGCUAGCCAAAUGCUGGGAUUACAGGCAAGUGCCUUAGCCACUUCGAUCUUGAAGUUUCUGAUGAGUGGAUGAAAAUGAGAAUGUACAUAAGGGUUCUUCUUUGAAAGAGAUUAGUUGCUAGUUGAGGUGUGGGGCAUGGGUGUGGGAGUACACACCUAGUCCCUGAAUGUAGGGAGGCUGAGGCAGGAGGAACACCUCUAGUUCAUAGCCUGGGCUACAUAGCCAGACCCUGUCUCAAAAAGUAAACAAGAAGAGAAGGCGUGGGACACGUAAACCAGGUACAGUGCUUAGCUCACUUCCUUGACAAAUGCUUUUCAGUUGCCUAAAGGAAAAACCCAAAUUUCUUGAGUCUUUGGAACUCUGCCUUUGCUCUGUUCUCUGCCUUGAGCACUUACUGUACCCUCACAUCCUGCCUCACUGCAUUCAGGCCUCCCACGGAUUGGGCAAGUGCACCAAGCCAGAGCUGUGGCCUCAGGCCUUGUUUAUAGUCUUUCUGUCCUACUUUACUGUGUCCCUCCUAGAAAUCCUGGUCCAUGUCAUUAAGCUGCCCAGACUGGGCUGUAAUUAAUCCUCCUGGCUCAUCUUCCAGAGUGCGGGGGAUUACAACUGUGCGCCACCACGCCCAGCUAGGUCAUGAGUGUAAAAUCACACUCAGUUCCUACUGUAGUGGCAUCGUGGGAGCUCACAUGGCCACCAUCCUGGGCAGUGAAUCACAUCUCUGUCUUGUGCACCCAAACUAUGCACACUGGGUCCCCAUUUGCCAGUGGGUAAUCUUCGUUCAGAUCUGCUGCUGUGGUAUCUGUGCCACAGCUCUCAUUUCACUUCAUAAUGAAUGAAUGACGUGAAAAAGCAGUGAUGCUGGUGACAGUGACACGCCAUGACAUGCUUUCUUCAGGUUUGAUGGAGGUGAUAGUGCAAGGGGAUCUUUGGAGAGUGAUUCAGUUCACACCCAUUUGACUACAGCGUAUUGUUAUUGGUAGUUAAUCUCUUGUUAAUCUCUUACUGUACCCAGUUUACAUACUGAACUUUAUCCCAGGGGUGCAUGUAUGUACAGGUACAGGAAAAACAGCAUUUAUAGGAAUCAGUGCUCCCCAGGGUUCAGCAUCCUGAUAAAGAGUGAGGCAGGGGCUGGGUACAGUGCCUACCUGGCAAGUGCAACAACGUGAGUUCGAUCCCUGGUACGUAAAAAUAUAAAAAUAAAAAUAAAUAAAGAGUGGGAUGGAGUUACAAGUAUGCGCGACUUGUUACAGGGACAUGACAAAGAUGAGAGAAAAAAUAUUUCUCCAUAAGAACACAAAUACAGGGUUGGGGAUAUAGCUCAGCAGCACAGCACCUGCCUGGCAAGUGUGAGGUUGUGAGUUUGAUCCCUUGUACCAAAAAAAAAAAAAAAAGAGAAGAGAAAAGAACACAAAUACAUGCCUGCCCAUCAAGUAUGAGGUCCUGAGUGCUAUUUCUAGUACCAAAAACAAAACAAAACCAAAACACAAGUACAGCUGGGCAUGGUGUAGGCAGGAGCCUCAGUUCCAGGCCAGCCUGAACUUCAAUGAGACCCUGCCUUAAAAAAAACGACAAGGGGCUGGGGAUUUAGCUCAGCGACAUAAAGCGCCUGCCUUGCAAGCAGGCAGUAAUGAGUUUGAUCCCUGGAACGAUAAAGAGGAAAAGGACAAAAAAAAAAAAAAGACAACAGGCCAGUGAUAUAACUCAGUGGCAUAAGCACCUACCUGGCACGUGCAAGGUCCUAAGUUUAAUUCCCAGUACCAACAACAACAACAUACACAACACAAAAAGACCCCACAAGAACAACCACACAAGAAUGAGGGAGAAGGAUCUUAGUCUCAUCACAAUGAUUGGCCCAUAACUCAACACCAGAAAGUGUUUGCCUCCUACAGAGCCAGAAAAGUCUCGAAAUAUGUUCAGAUUCCACAGUGCCAAGGGUGGCCCCCUGCCUCCCUCCACACUAGAGAAAGGUCACCAUCCCUCACAAGGUGAGGGUCUCCAAUCCAUCUACACUUUGGGAAGGUGGGCCAAAGCCACAUGGGGUGGGGCUAGUCUCAGGCUGCAGCUGUACAGGGAUGGAACUGAGGGGACCAGCCCCCUCUUAGCGACCUGUGAUGUCACUGCCAUGGAUCCUACUUGGUGUCUCACUUUCCAGGAGAAAAGAAGAGGGAAGGGCAUGGAGAAGGGUUCUAGGGCCCAAGGAUGAGGGGGCUCAUGAGGGAACUGGUACUUAGUAUGUCUUACUGGGUGCAUAUAUACAAUGCCUCACUGAAACUGCUGAAUACCUUAAGAGGCAGGUGCUGGUGUCCAGGACAGGGCAUAGUAAACAAUACUUUCCUUGGAAAUAAGCAGAAUGUGACUGUGGCUGUGGCAUUUGUGUGACCCUGGGCAAAUUUUUUGGCCAGGUACUGAGGGUUGAACCUUGGGCCUUUGCACUGAGCUACAUACAUCUCCAGCCCUUUUUAAAAGUGGUGUCUUAGCCUGCCUUGCAAGCAGGCAGUCGUGAGUUCAAUCCCUGGUACCGAUAAAAAGGAAAAAGGACAAAAAAAAAAAAAAAAAAAAAAAAAAAAAAAAACCAAGGUAAAAA